rnacentral:rRNA from 1 species
UACCAGCACCCCGAGUGGUCGGGACGUUUAUUGGGCCUAAAGCAUCCGUAGCCGGUUCUACAAGUCUUCCGUUAAAUCCAGCUGCUUAACAGAUGGGCUGCGGAAGAUACUAUGGAGCUAGGAGGCGGGAGAGGCAAGCGGUACUCGAUGGGUAGGGUAAAAUCCGUUGAUCCAUUGAAGACCACCAGUGGCGAAGGCGGCUUGCCAGAACGCGCUCGACGGUGAGGGAUGAAAGCUGGGGGAGCAAACCGG